ACUGGUGAAUCUCACCCAGCCGUCGGGACGCCCCAGACGGCGUCCCAAAGCCUCCAGGGGACGCGCGGGCCUUACAACGGCCAGACGUCGGCCCGGGCCUGCAGCGGUCGUUGGUCGUCGGCGUGAGGGUGUCAGGAAAAUAACACGGAAGGCAGCACAGGUGAAUGAGAAUCAAGCAGAUUCUCCUGGACACAUCCACAAGCUGAAGGCAGAGAAGGCCUGCAAGAAGCCCCUGGCUAACCAGAUAGGCCCCCAAGGUUAAGAUCAAGGAAGUACAGGAGUUCCCCAAGGAGCCACUUCAGGCCAAGAAGGAGGUAACCAAGAAUCUGUCCAAGCAGUAAGAGAUGAAGACUUGAAGGCCCCCCUCUCUUAUGUCUGUCAUUGCAAUAGGCCUGGAGGCCUUGAGAAGGAUUGCACCAUUCCCCACUAGUGGAGAGCCAGGGUGGUCCAUUUGCCAUCACUGCAUCCCAGCUUCUCAGCAUUGGACCAGAAAAUCACAUGCUCCUAAUACUCACCGGAGCCAGUUGAAAAGUUUGGGAAAUGCUUUCUUUCCUCUCCAAACUUUCACAAUGCAAAGUCUUCCGGGAACUUGCCUCCUGUCUGCAGCAUCAUCUGAGUCAGACUUGUUCUUCUCCAAAGGAAUGGUCAGUUAAGGUAUUAAUGAAGACUUCUGUGACGUGACACCCCUCUCCUUUAUUGGUCCCCAUCAGACAGGGGCUGGUUUUCUCAUAUUGCUGAAUUCUACCACAACCUGUCAUAUUUCCAAGGUUUGGAUGGUGCUUUAAAUCUGAACUGCCUGAGAAGAUUCAGAAAGCCUUUGUUCUUGGGCUUACACA